rnacentral:rRNA from 1 species
GGCGGACGGGUGAGUAACGUGUAAGAACUUACCAUAUAGACUGGGAUAACAGAGGGAAACUUCUGAUAAUACUGGAUAAGUUAGUAUAUCGCAUGAUAUACAAAUGAAAGCUACGGCACUAAAGGAGAGCUUUGCGUCCUAUUAGCUAGUUGGUAAGGUAAGAGCUUACCAAGGCGAUGAUAGGUAGCCGGCCUGAGAGGGUGGACGGCCACAAGGGGACUGAGAUACGGCCCUUACUCCUACGGGAGGCAGCAGCC